GACGAACGCUGGCGGCGUGCCUAAUACAUGCAAGUCGAACGCCUCUUUCCUCCCGAGUGCUUGCACUCCAUUGGAACGGGGGGUUGCGGCCGGGUGAGUAACACGUUAGUAACCUACACAUCAGCGGGGGCUAACACUUGGAAACAGGUGCUAAUACCGCAUAACAGUUUAUGCCGCAUGGCUUGAGAGUGAAAGGCGCUUUCGGGUGUCGCUGCUGGAUGGACCCGCGGUGCAUUAGCUAGGUGGUGAGGUAACGGCUCACCAAGGCCACGAUGCACUGCCUACCCGGGAGGGUGAACGACCACACCGGGACUGGAGCACGGCCCAGACUCCUACGGGAGGCAGCAGUAGGGAAACUUCGGCAAUGGGCGGAAGUCUGACCGAGGACCGGCGCGUGGGUGAAAGAAGUCUUCCGGUCGGAAAACCGUGUUGUUAGGGAAAAACAAGGACUGUAGUAACUGAACGGGGCGUGAAGGGAACUAAACAGAAAGCCACGGCUUACUACGGG
rnacentral:rRNA from 1 species